rnacentral:rRNA from 1 species
UACGUAGGGGGCUAGCGUUGUCCGGAAUCAUUGGGCGUAAGCGCAUGUAGGCGGCUCGGUAAGUCCGCUGUGAAAGUCGGAAACUCAACUCGGAUGCCGGUGGAUACUGUCGGGCUAGAGUACGGAAAGGCGAGUGGAAUUCCUGGUGUAGCGGUGAAAUGCGCAGAUAUCAGGAGGAACACCAAUUGCGAAGGCAGCUCGCUGGGACGUUACUGACGCUGAGACGCGAAAGCGUGGGGAGCAAACAGG